CUGCUAACAGUGGGCGAGCAGGCGGGGUAAGUAAGAGUUCGCAAGCGUGAUGCGGUUUCACUGCGCGUAAAGGGUGCGUAGGUUGUUGGGUAAGUCGGUUGUGAAAUCUCCGAGCUCAACUCGGAAAUGGCAUUGGAAACUACCUUGCUCGAGGGUUGGAGGGGGGACUGGAAUGCUUGGUGUAGCAGUGAAAUGCGUAGAUAUCAAGCGGAACACCAGUGGCGAAGGCGAGUCCCUGGACAACUCCUGACACUGAGGCACGAAAGCUAGCGGAGCAAACAGGAUUAGAUACCCUGGAGUC
rnacentral:rRNA from 1 species